AGUGAAAGUGUUCAGGUGCUAACGAAAAAAAUUGUGGUGAUUCGUAUGCCAAUGGGCAUUUACCCAACUUGGAGGAAAAGCCACUGCACACUUGCAUUCAAAAAGUGCUGACGCGCUACUCCAAUUGUCAAAGGGGGACCUUUUCGAGGCUCCUGGAGGCAGGCAUUAAAAAGUGCAGAACUCCGUAAGGGUCCUACAAAGAGGAUCUGAUCAGGGCUAAUAUCCUGCUGGCAGUCCGUUUUACCAACAUGGAUUACAAAGAGCCGGGUAAACUACGCAGGACCAUACAGGCCAGGCCAAGUAAAUAUUUCCUAGUCAACCGACCUGGAGAUCGUAUGAAGAAAGCUUUUUAACCAUUCACCCCAGUAACGAAAACUAACCGACCACAAUUUGUUUCAUAUGGGCAAACAAACGCCAUAUUUUCAUUUGUUUGUUGAAGCUCCUAGUUUCGAUGGCGAUGUUGAUAUGGGACUUGGGCAGAGUGGUGGCGGACGCGAUAGUAUACUUGAUACUGGGUUUAGUUGGACCGGAAAUAUCUUCUGGAAUCCCUGGAGCACACUACUGAUGAUCUUGGCCGUCACCUGGAGCCAUUCGAUUACAUCGAAUGGCUGCAGAUGACGGGCAAGAAGAAACGGACCUCGGAGCUGGUGAAGGAGUAUCAUUAAGCACCAAGAUCAUCCAAGCUAGUAAGCUUCCGAAUGCCAGUAUGGUGCUCCAGUGAUUCCACGAGGUGUUUCCUGUCCACUUAAACGGUAGCAAGUGGACUAAUGCCUCCGCUACCACACUGUCUAAGUUUCAUAUCGACAUCCCUAUCCAAACAAGGAACAUCAUCAAACAUACGGAAAUAUGGCGUUUGUUAGCCCAUAAAUAACGAAAGACGGUCUAUGGUUCGUUGACGAUCCUGGGCGGCAUGGGUAGUAAAGGUAUAAUGCUAUCACCCAGCACAGCUCCAGAGGAAGAUGCUCUCUUUAUCGACAUUCUCAGACAGAAGUCGAACCAUAUUCUGGUUCUGAUUGGACGUGGGUGCUGGGCCUUCAAUCACCAGGACUACAUAGGAUCCCUGGGCUUCUUUAAGAGAGUCCUGAUGACAGAUCCUGGAGGACCCGCAAACGUACCUACUUGGUAUGGCCAUUCUGAAACUGAAUAGAGCUGCGCCUAAAGAAAUCGAUAAUUGUUUGAUCAGGAAACCUAAGUCAAAAGAAUUUAUAAGUUUUGAUGAUGACGAUAUUUCGGAAGAAGGCCAAAUAACCCAA